rnacentral:rRNA from 1 species
GGUUCAUUCAAAUUUCUGCCCUAUCAACUUUCGAUGGUAAGGUAUUGGCUUACCAUGGUUUCAACGGGUAACGGGGAAUUAGGGUUCGAUUCCGGAGAGGGAGCCUGAGAAACGGCUACCACAUCCAAGGAAGGCAGCAGGCGCGCAAAUUACCCAAUCCCGACCGGGGAGGUAGUGACAAUAAAUACUGAUACAGGGCUCUUUUGGGUCUUGUAAUUGGAAUGAGUACAAUUUAAACCUCUUAACGAGGAACAAUUGGAGGGCAAGUCUGGUGCCAGCAGCCGUGGUAAUUCCAGCUCCAAUAGCGUAUAUUAAAGUUGUUGCAGUUAAAAAGCUCGUAGUUG